rnacentral:rRNA from 1 species
AUGCACGCUGGCGGCGUGCCUCAUACAUGCAAGUCGAGCGCACAGACGAGGAGCUUGCUCCUCUGACGUUAGCGGCGGACGGGUGAGUAACACGUGGAUAACCUACCUAUAAGACUGGGAUAACUUCGGGAAACCGGAGCUAAUACCGGAUAAUAUAUUGAACCGCAUGGUUCAAUAGUGAAAGACGGUUUUGCUGUCACUUAUAGAUGGAUCCGCGCCGCAUUAGCUAGUUGGUAAGGUAACGGCUUACCAAGGCAACGAUGCGUAGCCGACCUGAGAGGGUGAUCGGCCACACUGGAACUGAGACACGGUCCAGACUCCUACGGGAGGCAGCAGUAGGGAAUCUUCCGCAAUGGGCGAAAGCCUGACGGAGCAACGCCGCGUGAGUGAUGAAGGUCUUCGGAUCGUAAAACUCUGUUAUUAGGGAAGAACAAAUGUGUAAGUAACUAUGCACGUCUUGACGGUACCUAAUCAGAAAGCCACGGCUAACUACGUG